CCUGAACCUUCUCCAACAUAUAUGCUACCUUCUUUAUAUUAUCAUGCCGACAUAAGAAGUAAGACCCAUCAAGACGACAAUUUUCACCAAACUUUUCAAGCAGUUGAGGAAAAGUAACAUCUGGAAGUUGCCCAGCAAAUAAUUCAACCUGCUCAUAGAAAGGAAAGAGACCCACUUUCUUUACUUCUUCAAAAGGUUGCUUUAAACAUUCAAUCAGGUAACCGAGAUCAUCCAAAUGCAGGGUGGAAGUAAGUCCAUCUGGGUAGCGGCUUCCUCUCCUCCCAGCUCUUCCAGCAAUCUGCUUCACCUGUGAUGCUGGAACUGGAACAAUCUUGUCGCCAUUGUACUUUGAAAGACUGUUAAAAACUACUCUUCUAAUAUUGAGAUUCAAACCCAUACCCACAGCAUCACUUGCAACCAGCACAUCAAAUUCAUUAUCUU
rnacentral:misc_RNA from 1 species